rnacentral:rRNA from 1 species
UACGGGGGGGGGGCAAGCGUUGUUCGGAAUUACUGGGCGUAAAGGGCUCGUAGGUGGCCAACUAAGUCAGACGUGAAAUCCCCUCAGCUUAACUGGGGAACUGCGUCUGAUACUGGAUGGCUUGAGUUUGGGAGAGGGACGCGGAAUUCCAGGUGUAGCGGUGAAAUGCGUAGAUAUUGGGAGGAACACCAGUGGCGAAGGCGGCUCACUGGACCGGUACUGACGCUGAGGAGCGAAAGCGUGGGGAGCAAACAGG